CACUUUUUUCCACCAUUUCUUAACCUUUCCUCUUUCUCUCUCUAAACCAACUAACUGUAACAUAUCAAUGGAGGAGCGAGAAAAGUUUUGGAGGAUGAGAGAAGCACACAGUACCCUUCUCCAAGAUCAAGGUACUAUGAUGAUGAUGAUCACCAUACACAUGAUGACAGAUCAUGAUCAUCAAAUCCCAUCUGGGAACAGCCGAUUUCGAUUUGGAAGUAAGAUUAAUAAUAUUAAUUCCAUUUCGAUUACACCUUAAUCUUAAUCGGGUGCUAUCCUACAUGAGCUUAUUUCUCUGUCAUUUUAUUUUUGUUUCUUUCUUCGUUUUGAAUCUUCUUGACCUUGUAAGACCUUUUCUUGACCUUGUAAGACCCCAUCUCAUGUUUCUUUUCUUUCUUUACUCUUUUAUUAUUCGUUCUAUAUUAAUAUCUAUUGAUAUAGAGUCGUAUAAUAUCUUCUCCCGAUUUCCGGCCAACUCAUCUUCUCCUUCCUUGUCUAUCCCUCCUGAGCUUUUCCUAAAUAUAAGCAUGAAAAGACUGUUUUCCAAAGCUUCAUCAUCUUCCUUUCAUCAUCUUCCUUUGUGCAAGAGGCUUCAACAAACAGUGAAGAACUUAAUUAAAAGUUCAACUUAGGUUUAUCUUUAUUUUAUUUAUUUAAUUCUUCUUGUAGCUAUAUAUGUAGCUAGGGAUUUUCCAACAUAAAUAUGUAAUUUAAUGAAUAUAUAUAUAUAAAGUUGUAUGCCAUAUAGUUGGUGGUCCCUUGAGCUAGUAAAAUUGUAGUACUAUUGACAUAAAUAUAUAUAUAUAUAUAAAAUAUUGUUUUUAGUGGGAGAAAAAAUAAAAGUGAACUUAUAAAUAAAUAUUUAUUAAUUAGUUUGAAUUGUAUUAUUGUUGUUAUUAUUAUUAUUAUUGUGGAUCAGAAUAAAUAUUGCAGUAGUAGCAUAUGAGAGGAGGGGGGCAACAACAUUAUUAUUCAUCAUAUAUCAGUUUGGAUUGUUUUAUUAUAUGUUGUUGUUCUGAGUGAGAAAUUUUUAAUAAACAGAGAAUAAUUAUAAGCUCU